UUCGAUUCUGGCUCAGGAUGAACGCUAGCUACAGGCUUAACACAUGCAAGUCGAGGGGCAGCAUUGGGAUAGCUUGCUAUUCAGAUGGCGACCGGCGCACGGGUGAGUAACGCGUAUCCAACCUUCCUGCCAGUAGGGAACAGCCCGGCGAAAGUCGGAUUAAUGCCCUAUGUUCUUCAAUGCGGACAUCUAAGUUGAAGGAAAGAUUCAUCGCUGGCAGAUGGGGAUGCGUCCGAUUAGCUUGCCGGCGGGGUAACGGCCCACCGGGGCGACGAUCGGUAGGGGUUCUGAGAGGAAGGUCCCCCACACUGGUACUGAGACACGGACCAGACUCCUACGGGAGGCAGCAGUGAGGAAUAUUGGUCAAUGGGCGUAAGCCUGAACCAGCCAAGUAGCGUGCCAGGAUGACGGCCCUACGGGUUGUAAACUGCUUUUAUGCGGGGAUAAAGUGCGGCACGUGUGCCGCUUUGCAGGUACCGCAUGAAUAAGGACCGGCUAAUUCCGUGCCAGCCGCGGC
rnacentral:rRNA from 1 species